rnacentral:rRNA from 1 species
ACGGGUGAGUAACGCGUGGGAAUCUACCGUACCCUACGGAAUAGCUCCGGGAAACUGGAAGUAAUACCGUAUACGCCCUUUUGGGGAAAGAUUUAUCGGGGUAUGAUGAGCCCGCGUUGGAUUAGCUAGUUGGUGGGGUAAAGGCCUACCAAGGCGACGAUCCAUAGCUGGUCUGAGAGGAUGAUCAGCCACAUUGGGACUGAGACACGGCCCAAACUCCUACGGGAGGCAGCAGUGGGGAAUAUUGGACAAUGGGCGCAAGCCUGAUCCAGCCAUGCCGCGUGAGUGAUGAAGGUCUUAGGAUUGUAAAGCUCUUUCACCGAUGAAGAUAAUGACGGUAGUCGGAGAAGAAGCCCCGGCAAACUUCGUGCCAGCAGCCGCGGUAAUACGAAGGGGGCUAGCGUUGUUCGGAAUUACUGGGCGUAAAGCGCACGUAGGCGGAUAAUUAAGUCAGGGGUGAAAUCCCGCAGCUCAACUGCGGAACUGCCUUUGAUACUGGUUAUCUUGAGUAUGGAAGAGGUAAGUGGAAUUGCGAGUGUAGAGGUGAAAUUCGUAGA